rnacentral:rRNA from 1 species
GGGGAAUCUUCCGCAAUGGGCGGAAGCCUGACGGAGCAACGCCGCGUGAGGGAUGAAGGCCUCUGGGCUGUAAACCUCUUUUCUCAAGGAAGAAGAUCUGACGGUACUUGAGAAAUAAGCCACGGCUAAUUCCGUGCCAGCAGCCGCGGUAAUACGGGAGUGGCAAGCGUUAUCCGGAAUUAUUGGGCGUAAAGCGUCCGCAGGUGGCCCUGUAAGUCUGUCGUUAAAGCGUGGAGCUUAACUCCAUUUAAGCGAUGGAAACUACAGGGCUAGAGUGUGGUAGGGGCAGAGGGAAUUCCCGGUGUAGCGGUGAAAUGCGUAGAUAUCGGGAAGAACACCAGUGGCGAAGGCGCUCUGCUGGGCCAUCACUGACACUCAUGGACGAAAGCCAGGGGAGCGAAAGGGAUUAGAUACCCCUGUAGUC